rnacentral:rRNA from 1 species
UGGGGAAUAUUGGACAAUGGGCGAAAGCCUGAUCCAGCAAUGCCGCGUGGGUGAUGAAGGCCUUAGGGUUGUAAAGCUCUUUUACCAGGGAUGAUAAUGACAGUACCUGGAGAAUAAGCUCCGGCUAACUCCGUGCCAGCAGCCGCGGUAAUACGGAGGGAGCUAGCGUUGUUCGGAAUUACUGGGCGUAAAGCGCGCGUAGGCGGUUUAUCAAGUCAGGGGUGAAAUCCCGGGGCUCAACCCCGGAACUGCCCUUGAAACUGGUUCACUAGAAUCCUGGAGAGGCGAGUGGAAGUCCGAGUGUAGAGAUGAAAUGCGUAGAUAUUCGGAAGAACACCAGUGGCGAAGGCGACUCGCUGGACAGGUAUUGACGCUGAGGUGCGAAAGCGUGGGGAGCAAAC